AAUAAGGAGCCUGAGGAAAGGACUAUUUUGAUAGAAUAGAAAACGUAAAAAUUUUACCCUUAUUA
rnacentral:tRNA from 2 species